UCAGCUGAUCUUGUGGUUAAGACACAGGACUUGGUUACACAGGAUCCCCUUCCUGGCUCUGCCGCAAAUUACAGUGCAGUCUUGGGCAUGUCACUCUCUCUAGUUCCUCAUCAGCAAAGCAGGGAUUUUUGUCCCCCGGGAGUGCUGAAGCUAAAUGAAUGAAAGCUGGUAAAGUCUGAGUUCCAUGGAUGAAAGAUGCUGGGGAAGGGCAGACGCUGUGGAGUGGCUCUAAUUUCCCAGGAGCAUGGCAGUGAUUUCAGGCUGUAGUGAUGCUAUGAAGCAUGGCCUCGCCGGCAAUGCUUUGUCCCAUCCUAUCCUGGUGCUUUCCAGGGUCGCUAAGUCCCAGUAGGCCAAGAUGCUAUUAGAAUGUUAAGCCUGUAUCGCGCCCAGAGAAGGGAAUUUCAGGUGAGUUUCCCCUUCCCAAAGCGUGUGCGAGCCGCCACCCCCCUGCAUGAAAUUCACCCUAGGGCACAAGCUUUGCCAUGAAACCAUGUGCAUCACUUGACACACAGCUGUUAACAUGAGGCUUAAGUGGGGCAUAGGACCUUCUGCCCUGGAGUCAAUGCGCCUUUGUGAAUGCCAGUUAGGUAAUGACACCUGCUGGGCUGACUAGCCGGGCUGCCACUGUGCUGCACCUGAUCUCAAUUUCUGGUGAUUUGAACCUAACAUCAAAGAGAACCUUAAGAAUUAUCAGACACAAACAUGAUUUGUUGGGGAAAAGUCACCAUGGCUUUUGUAAAGGGAAGUCAUGCCUCACCAAGCUAUUAGAAUUAUUUGAGGAUGUCAGCAAUCAUAUGAAUAAGGGUGACCAAGCUGAUAGAGUACUUGGAUUUUUAGAAAGCCUUUGAGAAGGUCCCUUAGCAAGGGCUCUUGAGGAAACUAAGCAGUCAUGGGAUAACAGGGAAGUUCCUGUUUAAAAGAUACAGUGAGGUAGAAAAGUUUGCAGAUGAUACAAAAUUAUUCAAGAUAGUUAAGUCCAAAGCUGACUAUGAAGAGUUAUGGGAGAUCUCAAAAAAACUGGGUGUAGUCUGCGCCCACCCACUUCUAAAGGCCCCUCCCCCAGUUUCUGGUGGUCAUCUCUGGUGAUGGGGUCUAAUCGUAAUGCCUCCUAUUUAAUGGGUUAAUUGGAAUGUGAUGGUUGACCACCUCACACUUGGAGGGUUGAGUGUGGUAUGUGGCCAGCAAGCUAGGACUAAGGUAUGGAGCAUGAGGGGAGAAUAGAAAUAAGGACUAUACUAUAGAGCAUCCCUAUAAUUCAAGGACUUGGGAUGCCCACACCUUUGGUCUAGGUGGUACUCCACCAGAUGGUGGGGCGGGAGAAUUGGACUGAUUCUGGAAGCUGUCCUCAGCAGCUAUUGCAGAGAUGGUAUAUGCAUAGUGUGCACAGGUUCCAUCCUGUGUGCCGGCACCAAAAGGGGGCUCCGUGAGGGAGAUCUCUCCAGUGGUUUGGCUUUAAAAGUAACCCCCUUCCCCUACUGUGCUACAAACAUGCCCAACACCUGGAUUCUGUUGUAAUGGAGAUUGGAGGACACACGAGUGGAAUUCCCAAAACCAUUUAAUAAAAAGAGCCAGAAACUUCGUUAUUAAAUGAAGAAAACUUAAGCUACAGCUCAGUCCUGAGCAUCCGUCAUGCUAGUGAGUGUCUAUCUGUGUCUAUUACACAGCUGAAGAAAUGAUCAAUAAGCAAACUUUCACCUAGGAACCAAGUGAGGUCCUCUGAAACUAUCACAGCCCUCGCUUGUCUGAAGUUGAGCCUCUAUCUUCGGUGGUUAUAACAAAUUAGAGUUUAUAUAUCUUCAAGACCAUUUCCUUCAAAAAACCAAAAAUCGCUGCCAGCCGACACCUGCAGACCCAAUGCCCCUGAGCAACCUCUUACCAUUAUUUGUCAAGUAAACAUGGAAACAGAGGCAGGUUUUUAUACUUUAAGAUGGCACUGACGUACUGUCAUGAUGACAGGCCCCACGAGGUAGAUCGGCGUAUCAAUUAGCACAUUGCUUUCAGAUCAGCCUCACUUGAAGUCUUCACAAAGCGUAUCUUAGAAGGCGUACGCUAUGCAUGCAGUUUGUACGCAGCAGGAAGUGCCAACCAGUUUUGCCCCACCCAGCGGGUUGUGCUGAGAUGCCCAGGAGCAGGGCUCUGACAGCCCUGCAGGAGGCUGUUCAGGAGUUUACACUGUCGAACAAAAGCAGGGAGAGGUGCUGAUCCAACGCUGUGUGACACUGCAUUAACUGCAGGAGUAUCGAGUUAUGUGAAUCCUCUGGACUCUUUAAAAUCAGGUGUCUGUUGAAUUGUCAUCGCUGUUACAAGUCUCAAGUUGUGUGGGAAGAACAACAGAAAUAGUUCUGUAAAAGAGCAGUCAAAAUGAUUUGUGUGCCUGCAUAAAAUCCUCCAGCGAUUGCCGUGCUGCCCCUCCCAUCACGUGCUUCGAGCUGGGGCCUAGGAGCCAGGACUCCUGGGUUCUAUUCCUUGCUUUGUCCAACUUGAGACACCUAGGGCCUGACUCUUGUCAAGAGCCAAGUACCCACAAUUACCAUUGACGUCAAUGGGCACCCAAAACUAGAAGCCUCAUUUGGGAAAGUGUCCUAAUGGCCUAUCCCAUCAAUCCCAGGCACACCUGCUAUGGUUCUACACCAAGAAGGAAUUUUUGUCCCUGUCUGCAUUCAGGUACAAAGGUGUUGGUGUGUUGAUAAGGCUGCAGUUAAAGGGAUCAAGCUUAAUCUGAAAGUCUAUUAGAACUCCAAUUGUGUGGGGGGGUUUAAAUGAAAGCAUUAGUUCUGUUUAUCAUUGCCACCCCUCCGCUCCCUGAAGACCCCUGUCCUAUAACAUUGGACCUAGAAAGUUGAGAACCUAUUUCAGAAGCUGUUGUUUUCCCAGCUGGCUGUUGUGCAAGUUUCUUAUUGAAGAGAUGGGCCAUUCUAGACCGUUCCUGUGCACUCCUGUAAUUCUGCUCAUCAGUGGAACCUUAUAACCAUUAAAGAAGCCUCAGCUGCUUCUCAGAGUUAUUACGUGGUACAGAUGGGAACAUUGAGGCACAGAGAGACUAAGUUAUUCAACAAGUCAGUGGGGAUGUGAGGUGCUUCCAGACACUAGUUUGUUUUUUCCCCCCCUGUGGCUUCCUCUUUUUUUCCCUUUGUCUUGGAUAAGCGCUGUAACCCACUGGUUUCCCCUUUCUUCUUUCUAAUUUUUACUCUGAGUCAUCUGUAUUGCAGACAGACUAUUUAGGGAGGCUGCCAUGCGGCUGGGUUUGCUGGGAGAUGGGACAAAGAGCAGUGCCAUGCUGAGCCAGUGAGAGAAGGAGCCGAGGAGAGCCCGUGAGAGGAGGAAACACUUGAUGCGCAGAGCCAGACGAGAAGACCUGGCCUGCCCGUAUUUCUUGCUCUCCGCCAUGUCGGAGCAGGAAGAUGACGAGAUGUGCUGGAAUAACUUGGAGAACUUCCGGGUGAAGCUGAUCUCGGUGAUAGACCCCUCCAGAAUAACGCCGUAUCUCCGCCAAUGCAAAGUGAUUAACCAUGACGACGAAGAGCAAGUGCUUAACGACCCCAGUCUGGUAGUCCGGAAACGGAAAGUAGGCGUCCUCCUGGAUAUACUUCAGAGGACGGGCCAGAAAGGUUUUGAGGCCUUUCUCGAGAGCCUUGAGCUUUACUACCCACAGUUAUAUAUGAAAAUAACCGGCAAGGAGCCCAGCAGAGUCUUUUCAAUGAUUAUCGACACCGCGGGGGAAUCGGGCCUGAGCCAGCUCCUGAUGAACGAGAUCACGAAGCUGCAGAGCGCCGUGCAGGAGGAGAGGAGGAAGGCCCAGGAGCUCAACAUGUGGCUCCAUGCCAAGGAGGACGCGCUCAAGGAGAUGCGGGUGAGGGACAGCGUGCUGCGGAAGCACCAGGAGAGGGCCCAGAAGAUGAAGGAGGAGAGGGACAACUUGGCCAAGGAGCUGCGGAAAUGCAAGGAUGAGAACUACGACCUGGCCAUGAGCUACGCCAAGCAAAGCGAAGAGAAGAACGCAGCCCUGAUGAAGAACCGGGAUCUGCAGCUAGAGAUUGACCAUCUGAGGCACAGCCUGAUGAAGGCAGAGGACGACUGUACACUGGAGAGGAAGCAUACGAUGAAACUGAAACACGCCAUUGAGAAGCGGCCGAGCCACGAAGUGGUGUGGGAGAUCCAGCGGGAGAAGGAGCUGCUGCUGGCCAAGAAUCAAGAGCUGGAGAACACGCUCCAGGUUGCCAAGGAAGGGAACUUGGAGAAGAACAGCCUCUACAUCCAGGCUCUGGAGGCUGAUCGGAGACGGGCACUGGGGGAGCAUCAGGAGCUGGUGAACACCAUCUACAGCCUGCGCAAGGCGCUCCAGCAAGCAGAGGAUCUCCAGGACAAACACGCGGAGGAGAAGGAGGUGCUGGAGCUGCAGUGCAUGUCCCUGAGGAAGGACUCCCGGAUGUACAAGGAUCGCAUCGAGGCCAUCUUGAAGCAGAUAGAAGAAGUGGCUGCAGAAAGAGACCAGGCGCUGCUGACCCGAGAGCAGUUCCACAUGCAAUACUCCAAGAGCCUAGUCGACAAAGACGCCUACCGCAAAGAGAUCCGGGAGCUGGGGGAGAGGUGCGAUGAGAUGCAGCUACAGCUGUUCCAGAAGGAGGGCCAGUUACUAGCCGCUGAGGCCAAGCUGAAAAAGUUGCACCUGGAGCCACCGACGCUGUUCCAGACUUCUGACCUAGAUGACGUCUCACCCAGGAGUUCCCAAGAGCUCUCUUUCCAUGGAAACCUGGAUGAGGACACACUGCUGUCUGACAAAAAAGAUCUCUCUGAAGGUCAGGAUCAGCAGUUCAGUGCGUUAGAGAGCAUUCAGUGCCUGCAGUCGUCAAACGAGGGUGGCCCACCCAAUGGAGAGCUGGCUGAGAAGGAGCGGCGGCGGAUGAAGGACAGCUUUGAGCACUAUCGGAGGUCUGGCCUGUGCUCUCGGGACUGCUCUUGCCAUGUUUGUGUAACCUACUGGUCACUGUGUGUCAUGUCCCCUGCUGUGCCUGAUCCACGGAGGAUGAGAAUCUGUUACUGCCUUCUCUUCUAGCUCAAGCCGUAGGGACUCGUGCAUUUAGUCCCAGAUGUGCCGAGUACGUUGGCCAAAAUGGCAGCCGUUGCUUUGCACUGAAACAAGUGUGGAUGUUUUCAGCCACAUGUAUAUCAUGGCCUGCGUCAUAAGCUGCUUCAUGCCACUGACCGAUUCCACCGUAGUUUAACAGAGCGGUACCCAGAGGACAUGAAGCUGGGGGUGGUCACCUGGAUCAUGGGCAAUGGAUCACAACGCCACUCACUCAGAUUUGUAGGGGGUCUGUGCAGGGGCCCAUGGGCCAUGGGCGUCAGGCUGCUGGUGGGGGGAAAAGGGGUUCCUGAGAGGAGGUGGUGAGGGUCAGGUGGCAGGGACACAAAUCUAUGCCUACUCCACCCCAGACUUUUAAUGGCACUCUGCAGUCCUGGGGGCACCAUACUUUGGGAACUGCUGGCUUGGUAAGUUUGAUCUAUUUUACUAGCUCAGGGUUCCAUCCUGCUACUGCUGACACCAAAGACAAAGCUCCUAUUAAUGAGACUCAGGGCAGGUUUGAGCCCUUUCAAAACGAUUCCAAGUGGCCGAGCGCCUCUGUCUCCGUCUUUGGGGAUUGAAGAGACUGAGCAUCAUGUCAAAUGCAGAUCUGAAUUUGCACACGAAAUAGAAAUGAUCCGAAAGAGCUAAAUGCUGGAGCAGAUUACAGGAAACUUCUAAAGCGAUGUAGUAUUGCUUCUGUAAGUGGUAGUGUGCUGGGGUCUUAUGUAAUAUUUGUAUUCAAGAAGGAACUGAGAGUCAGAAAAUUCUUGCGUUCAGUUGUACUGUACAUUGAGGAAUAUAGGAAUGGCUUUACUGCUCUAGACUAAACCCCAUAAGCUUCUGAUCACAGUCUAUAUUGGAUGCUUGAGAGGAGACCCAGACCCCUAAUCACAAUUGUGGAUCAUUUAUUUGAUAAAAAAGUUGCCCCAAUGAACAACGUUGAUUCAACCAGUGCGCCCCAGAAGGUACAGGUGUGUGCUACUGUAUCCUGGAAGGAGACUUCUUCCUCACCUUCAGCAGAAAGAGGGCAUUGCGAAGGGUACAGAAGGGCAGACACCAUGAAGUGGACUGGGAAAACAACACUGGUAGUGACAACACGGACACUGAAGGCUCCUAAUAGCAUCAGCCCACCUGCAACGGGA